rnacentral:rRNA from 1 species
CCUACGGGGUGCAGCAGUGAGGAAUAUUGGUCAAUGGACGAGAGUCUGAACCAGCCAAGUAGCGUGAAGGAUGACUGCCCUAUGGGUUGUAAACUUCUUUUAUAUGGGAAUAAAAUGUUCCACGUGUGGGAUUUUGUAUGUACCAUAUGAAUAAGGAUCGGCUAACUCCGUGCCAGCAGCCGCGGUAAUACGGAGGAUCCGAGCGUUAUCCGGAUUUAUUGGGUUUAAAGGGAGCGUAGGUGGAUUGUUAAGUCAGUUGUGAAAGUUUGGGGCUCAACCGUAAAAUUGCAGUUGAAACUGGCAGUCUUGAGUACAGUAGAGGGGGGCGGAAUUCGUGGUGUAGCGGUGAAAUGCUUAGAGAUCACGAAGAACUCCGAUUGCGAAGGCAGUUCACUGGACUGCAACUGACACUGAGGCUCGAAAGUGUGGGUAUCAAACAGGAUUAGAUACCCCAGUAGUC